rnacentral:misc_RNA from 1 species
UCCGGUUUGUCACCGGCAGUCUCCUUAGAGUUCCCGACAUUACUCGCUGGCAACUAAGGACAAGGGUUGCGCUCGUUACGGGACUUAACCCAACAUCUCACGACACGAGCUGACGACAGCCAUGCAGCACCUGUCUUAGCGUUCCCGAAGGCACCAAUCCAUCUCUGGAAAGUUCGCUAGAUGUCAAGGCCAGGUAAGGUUCUUCGCGUUGCAUCGAAUUAAACCACAUGCUCCACCGCUUGUGCGGGCCCCCGUCAAUUCAUUUGAGUUUUAGCCUUGCGGCCGUACUCCCCAGGCGGUCGACUUAUCGCGUUAACUGCGCCACUAAGCUCUUUUAUGAGCCCAACGGCUGGUCGACAUCGUUUAGGGCGUGGACUAC